rnacentral:lncRNA from 1 species
AAAGAGGAAAAAAGAAAAAGAAAACACACAUAAAAUAGAAAGAAGAAAAUUUCUCUUCAAGAAAUGGCUUGAUUCUUCAGGUGGCAUUAUAACACUUGACUCUUCUUCCUUAGAAAGAGAAAGGACAGUCUACAAUUUCAGACUUCAGUAGGAGAAGAAGUUGGUUUGGCCAUUUUUACAGCAAUGGAAGUUAAAGCUUGGAUCUUUCUAUGUUUUUUGGUCAUGAAAUGUGAUGUUGGUAAUCUUUCUUUUUCCCCUUCAACUCUUGCUAUCUUAUAUAUUUCUACGUGAUUUUGUUCUAGUUUUUACUACUUUCUUGAUUAUUGGUUAUAGUUAAGACUUUUUUCUUCUGUUUCAUUGCUGUUUUACCAUAAUAUCUAGGAGAAUGUGCCAACUUUAUUUGUGGUGAGUGACUAAUUAUGCUAAGGUUUUAAACUUUUCAAUGUUUUUCUUAAGUUUCAUACUGAUUUUAUAGGGGAUUUCUUGGCUUGGUCAAUGAACAAUUUUAAUGGUCUUGCAAUAGAAGUAUUAAGUGUGAAGGUAAAUGUACAUAUGAAUGGAAUAGUUUAUGAUCAAUGCUAGCUCUACAAAGGAAGAAAAGAAUAUGAGAAAAGGUCAAAAUAGAGUGAAAAAGGAUUUUCUUGUUGCCACUAAAAUGGUGUAUUAACUGUGUAGAUCAAAAGAAGAGGAAAAUUGUUCUUUAAAGAUAUAUUUUAUGACUAGAAACACCAACACUCUUUGUUUAUUACUCCCUCCGUUAUCCAAUUUAUAUGAAUUGAUCCGUCUUUUUAAAUUUGAAAAUAAUUUAGCUUAAGUUUUUAAUUCUAUCUUCAAUGAGAAACUUUUAUAACAACACAAAUACUAUAGGUCCUUUUUUGACUUGUUUAAGACCAUAAAUUUAAUAAUUUUUAUUUUUUUUAAUCUUCGUGCCCAAUCAAAGUAAUUGUGAUUUGGUUUUUUUAGAUCAUCCCAAAUAGUCAAAUAAGAUAAAUACAAGUUUGUCAAAAACUUAAUUGAAAUUUUUUCUUUUUCGAAACAAAGUCAAUGGUUAAGGAUAUGAGAUAAAGAUUUUAUACGGGUUAGAACACCCGAAGCAAAAUAUGAACUCCUUUACUUUGGGGGUGGCAAAAGUUAUGUGUUUCUUAUAUACUGAAUAUAACAAAACAUAUAUAAGAAAAAGAUAGCUUGAUGUAUUAAACUCUCGUUAUAUGUUUAGUUUGGUGAAAGGACGGAUCACAAGGGUAUAUAAUACGUAACUUUUUCUUGUAUUUCUGCAGGAGACUGUUUCUUAUUCACUAUCGUUAUUCUAAUUUAUUACAUUACUAUAUAUAUAGUUGUUGAAGUAGAGGGCAUGGUGCAAGAGAAGGAGGAAUCAACUAUUCCAGUUACAACUCUUUCACCUCCUGAAGGCAAUACUACAUUCCUUGGUGGGACAACUUGGUGCGUGGCACGGGCCGGGGCUCCGCAAUUUGAUCUGCAGAAUGCAUUGGACUGGGCGUGUGGACUGGGAAUGGCGGAUUGCAGGCCGAUCCAAGCCGGUGGCCCGUGUUUUGAGCCCGAUACGCUUUUAUCUCAUGCUUCAUUUGCUUUCAAUGACUACUAUCAAGAGAAUGGUAAUUCUGAUAUUGCUUGCAAUUUUGGAGGAACUGCUAUGUUGACCAAAAACAACCCAAGUAAGCAUCUAUUUGGCCUUGCUUUCUUUUCCUAAUAAUUGUAUUCUUCGCAAUUAUAUGAAUAUAAAACCUUCUUCAUUGAUUUGUUGCUCAACAAGAGAAUGUGGUUAUAACUGUAGUUGCUGCAUUCUUAUGCCACUGCCCAAUAUGUCCACUUCAAGAUGGACCUUAUGUGAAUAUCACCAAAUAUCACUUUUUCUUUUGUCAUAGUCAGUUUUCGAAUUGGUCAUUUAAAAAUAAUCAGUAUUUAUCAAAUUAUUAAAAAAUAGUUACUAUUUUGCUGCAACAGAAACUGGUCCAGUAUAAUAUACUGGGGUUCAGUGCACUUGUGCGUGAACUUCCAGCAUAUUAUGCUGAACCGGUAUACUUUGCUGGAACUCCAGUAUAAUACUAGAACUCCAAACUCUAGUAUAAUAUAUUGGAGUUUCAGUAUAUCAUACUGAAAUUUCGAUGACUUCAGAUUGUGGUUAUUUUUAAAUGACCAAUUAUAAAUAUGAAUAUUUUUAAAUUUCCCCCUUUUUUUAGUAAAAUUAUAUACGCUAAAACAGAGUAAAAGAUUCAGUAUUUUAUUCUUCACGUUGCUAGUUUCACUUUUUAUGAACUGUUACUUAGGUGACUUGAUAUGUGUAAAAUCUUACACGGUAAAAGGUCGUUUAUUAUAAUAAAUAAGUAAAUAUAAUUCUGGCAUAAAAAUUUAUUACUGUCUUAUUUAUUAAUCUUGAGAUAAAUUAUUUUAAAAUUAAAAAUAAUACUACGUGGAUAGCUUAUACUCACAUGUCAGCGGGUAAAAUUGUAAUUUGAGAAUAAGUUACUCCUGGAUAAAAUAGUAAAAUUGACAAUAUUAAAAUUAAUAAAAUAUAUCAAAUAUUCAAUAAUAAAACUAUAUCAAAAUAACUAAUCACAUCAUAACUUAUCUUCAAACCGAACGACCUGUAUAGCAUAUACAAGUGAAACUUAUUUCUGUUAACACAUGGUGUGAGUGUUGCUUAGGACAAGUUUCUAAAUAUUCCGUUAAUCACUAGUCCUUGAAUAUCCAUCUAAGGUUAAUUAAUACUCUCUCAUUUUCAAAGUUUUCACAAAUUAUGACUUGUUUGAAAAGAAAGUUUUUGGGAAUCUUUUAAGGCAUGGAAAACAUAAUGUUAAUCCUUUCUAAAAUUUACAUUAUAUUUCUUUUUUAUGUUGUAGGUCAUGAGAAAUGUAUUUAUGCUACAUCUGGACCCAGGUACUCCAUAUUUAUUAUUUAUUUAUUUAUUUAUUUAUUUAUUAUAUGAAGUUUCUAAAGUAGUUGAGCAUCUCGAUUAACUUGCUUCCUUGUAAUAUUUUUAUAUAUAGGAUAGGUGAUAUGAAGUCUACAGCACCACCAUUUCCCAAAAACAGCUUAAGCAUUAUGUUGCGGAAAAUUGCUAUUAUUAUUAUUAUUAUUCUCUUGUACUGGGGAAGCUGAGAUGUGUACCAACUUUUGCAUCAAAUUGUCUGGAAAAGUAGAGCAUAAUCAAGAAGAAAUACUAUAAUUAAUUAAGAUAUACUCCAUGUGUACAGCUCUGGGACAUUAAUUCUUAGACUGGUUUAAUUUCUUAAGUAUAUUCUUUCCUUUCUUGUUGUAUUAGGUUAAGUAUCUUAGCCAUUGAGAAGAAAUCUUGUCUUUUAAAAAGACAGAAAAUUCAAUGCAGAUUUUGUAAAAUUGUUAUGACUUUAAUAUUAGUUACAGAUGCUUAGGGGAAGUGAGUUCUCCGAAAAGUGGUUAUCUUAUGUUAGGACUGAAAUAAUGAGGUGUCAUGCGAAGUAAAUUUUAAAUAUGAUAAAUUAGACCAAAAAAUAAGAAAUAUAUCAAAAGUGUCAUAAAUAUUUAACAUGAUUUAGACAACUGAUUUACGUUUACAACGGAGAUGGGCAAUCCACUGUAUAAAAAAGAGUACGAAAUAUCGAGAGAACAACGCAAAUACAAGUGAUGCAGUAAUACUUGUCUCGUAAAAUUCUCCCCCUAAACACGACUCUCAAAUUCCAUAUGGCGACAUUGUGAAUGCUAUUGAAUGAGAGGACGGAUUUUCAAUUUAUAGAUCUUUUUCCUACAAGAAAAAAAACUAGCCAAAUAUGGGAGAUUUGUAAUUUCCUUCUACAAAAAGAAAAACUCAAUUAAGAUAAUUAUAUUAUCAUUUUCCUUCAACAAAUAAGAAAAUCAGAUAAAAAAUUAUGGCAAACAUCUAACAUCUUAUUCCUCCUGAUUUACAAGAGAUUGAUAAAGUAUACUUCUCCGUUACAAAAAGAAAAUUGUCUUAAUUUGAUUUGAUAAAAAUAUAUUGAAAAAGGGAAAACAUUUGAAAUAUAUAAUCUUAAAGUUAGGAUGUAGUUCAUUUGGCUCGAAAUUCACGAAAUAAAAGAAAGUUUUUAUUACUUGUGAUUUUAUAUAUAUAUAUAUCAUAUGGUGUGGGUGAUUAAUAUUUAUAUUAAUCACACUGACUUUUGUGGUUUACAAUAUUAUGCAUAUUUUCCUUAUUUUGAUAUCUCUGUAACAAUUCUUUUAUUUAUUUAUUAUUAAUGUAAAAAGUUAGGAUAUGACAAUUUUACCAUAAUAGUUAGAAAAGGGUGUUUGACAAUAGUUUAAGAAAAAGCCAAAACAAAUUUAUACCUAUAAUAUUUAUGUGGUGAUAGAAAUUUUUAUUAAAAAUAUAAAAUAAUAUUUUUUGGGGGAACGAAUUAAUAAAAAAAUAUUGGCCAAGCUAAAUCUUUUUUCAAUUCAUUUUGUUCCAGUUGUGAAAAAGAUGUGACUUGGAUGGAAAAAACUGAAAGCUGAAUGAAUUCAGUGUUGGGUUUUGGGAUCCAAUUCACUGGCUACUUUUGUCAUCAAAGUGAUGCCACAUAACAGGCCAGCCUUUCGCUUUUACGCACGGCUUUUCUUCUUUUUCUUUUCUUUUAUGAGUUCAAAUUAUUUGACUUCUGAAUACUGCAAAUCUAUUUCAAAGUAUUUCCUUUAUUCCAUUUGGGAAUAUAUCGUAACCAAAAUAAAAAGUUUCUACUUCAAUUUUGUAGAUGCACGUAUACUUUUUUAUAGGUUUCCACUAAGGGUGUUUAAUGGGUGGUCCGAAUCGGUCUGAAUAGAAAAGAGUUAAAAUUGUUUGGAUUUCAAAUCAGGCCGGCUACAAGUUAAGAGUUACCGGGCUUAAUAGGUUCGGAUUCAUCCAGAUAAAAAAUGAAUCGUAAAUGUUACGGGCUUAAGGAGUCGAGCCGAGUUAGUGUUAUUUUUUUAUUUUUUAUUUUAUUUUUUUAUAUUUUGUAUAACUAUUAUAAUCUAUAUUAAUAUAAAGUAAAAAUAUAAAAAAUACAAUAAAGAUGAAAUUCAACCAUACAAAUUGAAAGGUUUACAUUUAACAACAAGUAAAUUAAUGAAAAAGAGUAUAUUCAAAGGUGUUGCAUUGCCUUAGACUCUAAAACCUUUAAAGAAAUUGAAAUCUAGCCUUUAGACCAGUCCGGGUCGGGUCGAUUAACCGAUUCUACAGGGAUUUUGGUUGACCAAGUUUGACUGGUCCGAUUAAUCGGAUGAAUUAAAGUGAACGGAUAACCCCCUAACCCCAGCAAACCAGCCUACCCGACCCCGUAAGUACCGGUCUAGGCCAGUUCGGAUUUCAACCAUUCUGGGCCGGGUCAGGCCCGAGUUAAUCCAUCCCAUUUGACGCCUCUAGUUUCGACCCCCAUAGGACUUACAACACGAUUGGAGUGAAGAUUUGCAAAGAAUUAUUAUUCACGUUGUUUCAAUUUAUGUUAACAUAUUUGACUGAGCAUGAAGUUUAACAAAGAAAUGAAGACUUUUGAAAUAUGUGAUACAAAACAAGUCAUAACUUGUGUUGACAUGAUUCUUUUAAGGAAUUUUUACAUUCCUGUGCCAUAUAGAAAACUAUAUUAUCCUUGAUGUUUAAGGUUUGAUAUAAUUAUAUUUAAUAUUCCUAAUUACCAAUUAUAUCAAUUAGUGGUUUUUAAGGGUAUUAAUUACACUCCCAGUUUAAUGGUACCGUAUAUUCCAUCUAAUACCCCCCUCCCCCCAUGUUUUUCUCUCUAAUUCCAUGUCUUCACCCACAUUUUCCUCCCACACCUACGAUUUUUCUAUAUCAAAAUCCCAUUAGUUCUUCCAUAGCCAAGGCUUUGAAUUCGAAUUUGAGUUUUCAAAAGACAUUGUUUGUUUGGAUUGGAUGUUGUUGCAAAGAAUUGAGAAUUCUCUCAACGUCUCUUUCUAUCUCGCAAUCUCAAAUUUCAGUAAUAUAAGAGGAAAGGAAAAAAGAGCCGCAAUUCCACUAUUGACAACCAUUAAAAAGCUUUGAAUUCUAAUUUGGAUUUUUUUGAGAAUUCUCUUUACCUAUUUCUCUAUCUCGCAAUCCCAAAUUUCAGUAAUAUAAGAGUACAGGAAAAGAGAGCAGCAAUUUCAUCAUUGACAACCAUUAAUAAACUUUGAAGCUUUGAAUUCUAAUUUGGGUUUUUAAAAGUUAUUAUUUAUUUGGAUUGAGUGCUGUUGUAAAUAAUUGGGAAUAUGAUUUGGAGUUUAUAUCUCAAUUUUGAGGGGUUUUGAUGAAGAUCAGAUUUGGUUUUGGCUGAACUUCAUAUUGAAACUCGUCGUCGAAGAAGAAGAAGAAGAAGAAGAAGAAGAAGAAGAAGAAGAAGAAGACAUGACAUACAUUAUAUUACAGAAAUUGUAGAUAAAUUAUAAAAAAUUUAUAGACUUUUGUUUAUUUAUUUUUCAGCUUUGUAUUUUUGUGUUAAAAGUUUUAAUGGGAGCUUGUUAUUCCAUUUCGUCUCUUUUGGAUCUAAAUAGUGCAGAGAAAAUGAUAUUUUUAAGUUAUAUAUAUUAAUAUACCUUUAAAUUCAAGAAGUAUGGUUGUAUUGAAUUUAAAGAGAUGUGAAUUUGUAGAAUAUGUUGAAUAUGAGGAAUAAGUCAAAUAAGACUCAUAAUGGCUUGUUUUUGUAUAUUUAAUCUACAAUAACAUAUCAUUUGAAAGAUUAAUAUGAAUACAAAAUUUUAAUGUUUCUACAAAUUAUCUACAAAAUAUCUACAAAUUGGGUACAUUAGAUUUUAAUAUCCCAAUUCUCAUUCAAUAGUAGCAUAAUUGAUAUUUUCAACAUAAUUGCGUUUUAUGUAGAAGAUUUGUAGAAGUUUUAGUCGUUUUUUAUUUGUGAAAACAGAAAAUAAAGCAUCUACAAUAGCAUAAUUGAGAUUUUCAACAUAAUUACUUUUUUUAGAAGAUCUGUAGAAGUUUUAGUCGUUUUGUAUUUGUGAAAAUAGAAAAUAAAGUAUCUACAAUCAGAACAAAUAAUCUACCAUUUAUCUAAAAAAUAUCUACAAAAUGGGUACGUUGAAUUUUAAUAUUCCAAUUCUCAUUCAAUCGUAGCAUAAUUGAGAUUUUUGCGUAAUUACAUUUUUCAGAAGAUUUGUAGAAGUUUUAGUCGUUUUUUAUUUGUGGAAAAUAAAAAAUAAAGUAUCUACAAUCAAAAUACAAAUAAAUAAAUAAACAACAAUCUACAAUUUUUUUAUAAUUUUUCCAUAAUUUCUGCAAAUAUAAUGUAUGUCAUGUCUUCUUCUUCUUCUUCUCUUCUUCGAAUUUUAAUCCAAAAUUCAGCCAAAAUCAAGUCUAAUCUUCACCAAAAUCCCUCAAAAUUGAAAUAUAAACUCCACAUCAUAUUCCCAAUUAUUUACAACAACACCCAAUCAAAAAAAAUAAUGAUUUUUGAAAACUCAAAUUUCAAUUCAAAGUUUCAAAGAUUUUUAAUGGCUGUCAAUGGUGGAAUUGCUACUCUCUUUCUCUUUGCUUUGUAUUAUUGAAAUUUGAACACAAUUGUGUUUGAUGUACAAGAAUUGUAGAAGAUUUAGUCAUUUUUUAUUUGUGAAAUCAGAAAAAAGGUUUGAAACACAGUGUAUCAAAAAAGCAGAGACGCUAAAUUUGAAAUGAAACUGAUGAAGAAGAUUAAUGUACAUGAUUUGCAUUGUGGAAGAUCUGGAAGAAUAUUUAACUUCUUUUUUUUUGCCGCGCCUAAAUAAAGAAUCAUAAAGCUACAAUAAUUUCUUAUUUAAUACAUUAUAUAUAUUAUGUAUAAAUACUAUUAGCAUAAAUAGUAAUAUGCAAACUAUGAACAUAUUUGGUAAUAUAAUUUCAUAUAUGGUAUAUAUACGAAAAUUUUUCUUUUUUUCAAACUUAAAACCUUAAACAUGUCAUAGUUUAUGUGACUUUAAAAGGCUUUCAUUAAGGAUAUAGAAAAAAGUUUAAAUUAUAUUAUUUUCAAAUUUAAAAACGAUUCAUUUUUUUUAAACGAAUUAAAAAGAAAAUACGUUCAUUUACAUAAACUACUGAGAAAAUGAUCAAAAUGAUCCUUAAUGUAUUGGGCUGGUUUGUCUUGGUCCGUGAUAUAUACCCCUUAACGGGUAUAGUCCUUAAUGUUUAGAAAAUGUGAACACUUUUGGUCUUCAAUCCUAAAACCAACAAAUUUAUCAAAAACAAUGGUUAACUUUAACUGUUUAACACCUGAACCACGUGCAACUCACGUGACAGCAAAAAAAGAAAAAAGAGAGAAAAGAAACACCCCAGGUUGUCGAAGAAACUCAGCCGGAACGAAAAAAGGAAUUUAGUCCAUUAUAUUAUUUUUUACACUAAGAAAAAAUAUUUCUUCUUUCUUCUAUAUUAUAUUAUUAUCUUCUAUUUAAAUUUUAUUUUUUAUUUCUUUCAAACAAAUUCUAUCUUUUUUUUCCAUAUUCCUCAGAUAUAGUUCACAGUCACCCACUCAUAUAAUCAUUUAUUACAAAAUUAUUUAAUGAAUAAAUCAAAUAAAAAUAAAAUUAUUGAUAAAAUGUUAAUAAAUAAAUAUUACAUCAUAGUCAAAUUUUCUUUAAGUACCACAUAAAUAUUUAAUUUUUGCCUCUAUUCUCUCAAUUUUUUUAGUAAGUUUGGUGCACCUAAAAGUGCCAUAGUGGAUUACUAAAUUUUUGUUUUAUAUUUUUUAAUGUAUCCUCCUUUGAUGUACUUUUAAUUAUAACGUAUUUUUAUUUUAUGUAUUGUUAAUUUUCUUUUUAAACUUUUAGUUUUCACUUUCAAUUUGAGCAACAUUAAAUAUCUUAUAUUUGUAUUUUUUAUUUUUAAAUAAUGGUUAUAUUUCUUUUUAUAUAAUUAUAAUAAUAAUAAAAUUAACUUAUAAUUUUAUGUAAAUAUAAUAUAUAAAGCUUGUGGGGGCAGUUAAAGCUUACUGGGCGCCUGCAAAACUGUUGAAGGGUAAAAAGAAAUUACAGUCUACAUUGUUGUUUCACGUUUGGUUUGUUCUAAAGGACUUAAAUAUCAAGAAAAAUAAGUACACUGGCAACUCAAACCUUAUAAAAUAAUACUAGUGCUACCAUAUGUAACUUUAAACUUUGAGUAGACAUCUCAAAGCCCAUUUGGACAUAAAAACUUUUUUACUUUUUUUUGAAAUUAAUAUUUGGCCAUAAAAUUUUCAUGUUUUAUUUGAAUAUUUGAAAUUUUUCAAAAAUUUGAAAAACUCUAAAAAGUUAUUUUUGAAAAUUUUCUGAUUUUUGGAAUUUUACAAUUCUUAUGACCAAAAUUUUCACUUCUCAUUUCUUGUGUUAUUGAAUUACUCCAUAACUGUAGGGUACCACAAAGAAAUUAAGUUAAUAGAAAGUUGUGCUACAAAGUAAAGCAAACAGACAAGCUUUAUAGCUUACAAAAGGAAGUCAUAGCUUCCCAUUAAUAGCAAAUUGAUCAUCUCAAAGAACUCAAAUUUCAUGUAUCAAUCCUAAAUUUGGUUCAAACGUUGUGUUUAACAAUCUCAAAUAACCUCUAGGGUAGACUUAUCAUUACAUGUAGAUAAGGAGGGCAUAUUAGUCAUUAUUUGGAGAAAGAUUAGUUACGCAGUUAGUGGGUAAGUUUGGGGAAUUCCAGCAUUGCUCAUUACAUUGAAUAAUAUCUCUCCCUUCUUCCACUGAAGCUUCUUAGAUUUACAGGCAGUGGCGGAUCCACACUUCAAUUUUGGGUGUUCGAGCACCCAUUAACCUCGACGCAGAGUAUGUAUAGUUAUAUAAAAAAUUUGAGAAAGUGUAUAAAUUUUAUAAAAGCAUCCAUUAAUUUUAUGUACAAAAAAAAUUCAGCACCCACAAACUUGAAUUCCUAGAUCUGCCACUGAAUGGCAGAAGGAGAUAUUGUUAUACUAAAAGAUUUAAUAGAAGGAGAUUUCGUAACCAUUUCUGCUGAAAAUGAGGUAAGAUAUACAGUCCAAUUCUAUUAUGUAAUUAAUAUCCUAGAUUAUUACAGGUUUGGUACUUUAAUCAGUUAAGUACAUGACAUUGUCCCAAUUUAUGUGGCAUAUAACAGGACAACAUGUCUUGGAGACAACGUUCAAGAAAUGUUCAUAAAUCUCAUCAUCCUAAGAUCUGUACAACCUAAUAUCAAACAAUCUUGAAUAUUAUGAGAUGGUCAUACAAAUUAACCUAUUAAUAUUAGAGCAGGCAAAGAUUCAGAGUUAUGUGGUUAAUUCACCAGUUGUAUUCGAUUUCUAAUUUCUAUAUGUUGAUAGGAACAUUUAGACUUCUUUUUUUGCAUAUUGCUUCUACUUGGUCAGCUCUUGUUCCCCUUCUAGGCAACUCGCAACUUGGCCUAGUUACAUCCUCCAUCCUACAACAUAUUUACGCCCCAAAAAUUCUGUUUUAAAGUUCAAGUUUCUAUGAGAGUGAGACAUUGUAUUGCGUCUAUAAAGGGAAGGAAACUCUCAAUUGCAAACACAAUUAGUUAAAAUUCUUUCAAAAGCGAAUACUUGAGAUAUUUUAUUCUUGUAGCAGCCUCUACCCCUAAAAUUUUUGGCCUUGAGUUACUUUCUCUUCUCGGUAUGCAGAUCAUUUUCUUUCUGUAAUGCCUCACUGUCACAUUCACCUUGCUCUCUUCCAUGAUGCAUUCAAGGGUUUACAUCUCUAGUGUUGCCUUCUCUUCUUGUAAUCUAGUUAUCAUCGCCGUUGCUUGAUUUGCAUCUCAUGCAAAUGCAUUUCGCUUUCAUUGACUAGAAAUAGAAAACUAGCACUAUCAGUAUUUGUAUGUAGCUUCUAAUUCAAAAUUGAAGCUAUCUUUACUUCUUAUACUCUAUGCAAGGCACAGAAUCGAACUUGAAUGACAAGCUAUGACAGUAGUAGAUAACUUAGUUUCUCUCAUCCCUCUUGUCUUUCCAUUAAAUUCUGAUAUUUCCAGCUCGCUUUUUAGUAGCUUUUCCAAAUAUCUUGUUUUCAACUGCCAAGACUGAACGAUGGAACUCCCAUGAUAAUCGUUCAAGUCAAUUUAGUGUAAUUUACAGAGAUAGAGGAAGUAUAUCCAAAGCAUAGAGUGACAUCUGCUAAAUGCUAAUAGUGCUUAUAAUAAGCGGCACGCGUACCAUGAAUGCAAGAAAACUUCUUCAAAAGCAAUCAACACAAUUUUCAAAAGGACUUAUUACUAAUUAAUCAACCUUAUUCUCUUUCCAAGCUAAAAAAAAUCAAGAAUGGUUUUCUAAAUGUCUAACCAGUUUACUAAGUUACAAAUGAUUGGGGGCAAAAUAACAGCCAGCACCUGUCACAAUGUUAUAAAAAGAACUUUGAAACAUAACGUUUGCAACAGAAUCUGCAAUAAAUAUCCACAGUUUAACCAAGCUUAACCUCAGAGCUCCUAAAGAAUUUUGAAUCACAAAAUCUUCCCGCUGAGUACAGAUGUGUCAACCUUAUGGCUUCAAAAAAUAUUUUCCGGGCUCGGUAUAUAUUUUCUCCAACUGCUCAACCUUGUUGAAUCUGAAACCCCUGAUUCUUAUUUCUUCAGGUAUUGAAGUAUCCUUAUAGUCGACAUUUUCAAUUGUCCAACCCUUGUUCUGCACAGAACCUCCCACUUUCACCUGUACAAAUGAUUCUCAGUAAGUGUAUCAAACAUCAAACUGAUAUGUUCAUUAUAAAAGUUGAACCCAGGGGGAGGACGAAUUACAAGCAUAUAGGCACUCAUAUAUCAACUAAAAGAAAGACAUAUCAGGGGUUCUGAUACACCCCUAUAAUGCCAUCCAGAUCAGAACUUGAUCAAGGACUUGAGACAUACAAAGGUUGAACCCGGGGGGAGGACAUAUUACGAGCAUAUAGGUACUCAUAUAUCAACUAAAAGACAUCAGGGGUUCUGAUACACCCCUAUAAUGCCGUCCAGAUCAGAACUUGAUCAAGGACUUGAGACAUACCUCAGCACCAUCGACAGCCUCAGUAAUGAGAGCUCCAUCCAGGGAAAGAUCCUCAAGGGCAAUAUCUCGCCCCUUGAUUGCCAUUGUAGAUCUUUCUGAAAUGGAGCAGUUUCCACUCACUUUGCUUUUUACUUCCGAGAAAGUAAGCGCCCAUUUUGGCUUCCACACAACUCGAGGCCCCUUGAUUGCUAUUGUAGAUCUUUCUGAAAUGGAGCAGUUUCCACUCACUUUGCUUUUUACUUCCGAGAAAGUAAGCGCCCAUUUUGGCUUCCACACAACUCGAGACCAUACUUCCACCUCCUGUCCGUUAAAGACUUGAAUAAUCGGAUCAUCUAUCUUGACACCAGCCUGUAAUAAAAAGAGAUGUCGUGUAACUGAUGCACACAACUAGAUCGACACAGGUUUACCAACUGAACUCAUCUGUGGCAGUGGCUAUUACGAAAGGGAAAAGUUCGGAAAGUGUUUCACGAGUCUAUAGUUAUCUUCAUAUUAUCACAAUUAGAAAUUUCAGUAUCAUAAUUUCCCCUAUCUUUUUUUCAAGGAACAUGCCCAAAGGUGAAAGUCUGAAAACAGUAGGUUGCAGAACCAAAAAUUGCUUUAUUAUGAGGCCGAUAAAAGGAUCUUCAGUAAUAACCCGAGUUAAUUUACGUAACUGUAACCUAAUGUUUGGACUUGCUAACCACUCGUUCAGCGCAUGACUAUGAAUCAAAAUGUUCUGAUAUAUUGUUCUCUAACCAGUGAUGAGCAGCGGCUCUUCUUUUUAACUUGUGCUUUGUCUUUUUUUUUCUUCUAUUGUCAUUCCGCCGGUUUAAAUGUUACUUAAAAACUGUAAGGACAUGGUAAAAGCCUAAAAGGCCUCAUUCAGAUUCCAGCAAUCGUUUCCUUUAUAUUAUAUCCUAUAGAUGUUUGCAGUACAAUUGGUGCAUAAUGUAUCUAUACACAUAGGUCAAGAAAGAAAUACUCUGAAAAGUUCAACUUUUCACUUGAAUUCCCAGACGGAAAGAAAUACCUUUCUUAGAAUGAGGCUAUGAGAGCGAUAUAUGGCCAUUUCUCCUGAAGUGGCACUGUGAUAUGGGUUUCCUUUCGGCACCUAUCAUUGUAAAGGAGACAAUUAAAAAGUAGUUAGAAAUUGAACCACAACACAUCAUGUCAAGAGCAAUAACUACCUAUGAGUUAUUGUUAGUAACAACUGUUGAGAAAGACUUCAACAGAUGCCAAGCCAAAGAAAUACAAGUCAAAACAUAAAACUUAAGAAUGUCAGUAAGCUGUUUCAACUUUCUUAGAUGGUGAAAGCGGGCUUAGGAUAGUUGCUAUGAACGACAAAGGAAAAGUAAAGUAGAAGGAAUGUGCCCCUGCAUUUUUCACUUUGAGGGUAAAUUUUAACAAAGCAUGCCAAUUAAUUAUAAGCUUAUGAUUGCAUAUGUAAGAAAGAGAUUCAACAAUGUUAUCUCGGAUCCCACAGGGAAAUGCUGCCUCCGGAAAAAAUGCUUGGUUUGUGCUACAAAAUACCUACACAACCAAAUUACAGUAUCUGACAAGUACGCAUAAGAUCUACAUAACUCAGUAAAAGAGCUUGAAGCAGAAAUCAUUAGCGAAAACACUUGAUAACAUUCCAAAUUGGAAAAUUUUCUGGUAACUCUUUGACACAAAAUUGAACAUCGAAUUCAAAGAAAGAAAAAGCCAGAAGCAUCAAUUCUUCAGUCCUAUGGCCUCUGUACUGAAAAUUUUCAGAAUGGAGCUCAGGGAGGGUCCACACCCAACCAGCAGAGACAAAUACAUUUGUUAUACAUAGCCAGCACUAGAUCAUCAGAGCUUUCGAUAGGGUCCACACCUAACCAGCAGAGACAAAUACAUUUGUUAUACAUAGCCAGCACUAGAUCAUCAGAGCUUUCGAAGAGAAGCAAGAACUAGAAGUAGGGAAGAUGGAUUUUCUCAUGAGGAUCAAAAUGUUAUGCCAUCCCCAAUUUAAAGAAAUUUGCCAAUUUACUGAAAUUAUUUCUCCAUAUAUGAUAGCUAAAAUUAUUUCAAUAACCGCUCAUCAUACCUUGGCAGCAUCUUCUGGGUUGUUUUUCACAGGUGCAUAAGCAAGCCAAGCAUCCACCACCUGAGUCAUUGCAAGAAGCAUUGUGAUCUCCACACGUGGAUAACUUGACCUUAGAUGACUCACAACAUAAGUAACAAAAUCAGAAGCCAAAAGCAGUAUGAACGUACAGUGAAUCCAACCCUAGCUGAUGGAGACAGCGUUUUAGGAUAAUCUUGCAUCAUGCAUUCAAGUCGAGUUGAGGACUUGAAAGCAGUUUUGGUAGCAUCUUUAUACCUACAGCAAGAGAUGCCAUAAAUUAGUCAAAAAGAGGUAAAACAGCAACUAAAAUCACGAGAGAGGAUUUUAACAACACAUGUGCCCAAAAAUAUUGAGCUUAGAAGAAACAAAUAUAAAAUGACAACAAAUAAGCAAAUGAAUUACAAUGUACAAGCUUCUAAUCAAUCCUUUAAGCGCACAGUCCGAACAGUAUCACCUCCACCUCUAAUGUAGCAUCUUUAUACCUACAGCAAGAGAUGCCAUAAAUUAGUCAAAACGAGGUAAAGCAGCUACUAAAAUCACAGGAGAGAGGAUUUUAACAACACGUGCCCUAAAAUGUUGAGCUUAGAAGAAACAAAUAUAUAUUGACAGCAAAUAAGCAAAUGAAUUAUAAUGUACGAGCUUCUAAUCAAUCCUUUAAGCGCUGAGUCUGAACAGUAUCGCCUCCACCUUUUUUUCUUUUUUUGACACAGGUAGUGUCCAAGCUAGCUUGCGUGCACCUCGACCAUUCCAUCAGGUACCUGCUACCUCCCACCAACAAAGAUACCGGAUAACUCUACCACCAAGGCUUAGACAGAUUGAAAGAAAUCACCUACUGUUAAUUCACUCUGGGAUUUGAGACCUGGUCUACAAGGUUCACACCUACUUCUUUGACCAUUAAGCUACACCCUCGGGUGCAUCACCUCCACUUUUUUUUGGGCUUAAAUUGAUUUAGAUGCCUAAUCGAUCCCUUUAACUGCACCCUUAGGAUCAUCGCCAGAUUGUCCCGAAUAACCAGAGAAUGUCAACAUGCAAAAAUUUCCAGAGUACGAGUUGGAAUCAUUUCUCUUUCUAAGUCCUCACUGUCAGUCAACCCACCAACCUCUGAGAACUGUAUGUUGGAUGUUAAUGCUCCAGUCUAGCCAAAAGUACAAAUAUCAACCUUCCCAGCAAAUGGGAUACGGGAAGGUUGUGUGCAGAAUAUCCCAUCCCUCGUGUCAAACUGCAAUACCAGUGUUCAUCUAGCAAAAUGAAAGCCCUGGAAUAUAACUCAGGUGUUUAGAUCAGCAUAAACUCCUAUCUUCUGUCUAUUGUAAUGUCUUAAAAGCGAGCAAACAUAUUGGACAUAAAGCAUCUGAGCUGAUCCGUAUUUCUACUUUAUGAGAAUCCAGUUCAGCUCAUUUGCAUUUUGCCUUUUUCAUUCCUAGCAACAUAUUAAAUUCAGUGGUUCAUUUCUCUACAAAUUUUAUCGUGGAAAAUUUUCCUGGACUUACAGCAAAAAAUCAAUAAAAAGAUAAACAACAUAUGUUUUCAAAGGAAUAUCAAGUAACAUGACACCACGGCAUUGAACAUACAAGUCUUAUAUAGGGAUAUAAGAGUAGAUGUUUACUUAGGGUUAACAAACUCCUUUAUUGCACCUCCUGUUUUAGUGAGCUCUUCAAUGUAAGGGCCAAUUUCAAAGAUCAGCUGCAUAGCAAAUGAAGACAGCCAUAGGUAAGCUAUUACUUCUCUAUUUGGAAGUAAUCAAAAAAAGGAAAGCUAUCCUACAGAGAAACUUGGCCGCUACAGCAUAAUUUGCAUGAAAAUUCCCGCUGAUUACAUGCUCGAAAAAUUAUAAACUACUGUCAUAAAGAAGGGGCACUUCACCUCUCUGUUCCUUAUGAGAUCCUCACAUUUAACAGAGACAGUGAUCUUCCUUAAUUGCAUUGACAUCUAUAAUUUAUCCAGUGUUUCCUUGCAUAUCCUUUAAGGAAAAAUGAAAUUUUCUUUUUAAAAUUUCCAUUCAUAUAAUCUAGUAACAUAUUAGCAUGUUAUCCGUAGUUACUUUACAGAAAUCAGUUCGCACGUUAAAAUCAAGUCCACCGACGUUGCAAAGCGAAUUGGUCCCAUGUAUAGGUGAGUACGGAGUUUUAUUACCCAAAAACAUCAAAGAACGGAGGUUUCCAUGAUAGUUGUAACCAUUGGGGAUCCAAUCAUUAUGGGCCAAAAUUACCAGAACUUCGGGAAUAUCCCGGUUAUUAUACAAAGUGGUAAAAUAAUUUAUAUGUAAAAUAAUAUGGCAAAUAACUUAGAGUCACUACAGAGAAAAAUUGGCAAGAAAGAAAAGAAAAAGACACUUCAGCAUAUAGACUACAAAACAUACCUGAUUUAUAUUUCCUGGAAAAGGUGAAUAGCCUGUUUCAGAAUUGACAUCACCAUCAGGAUAUCCAGAUGCUCUAAGCAACGGAUCGAGCUGGUUGUAUUCCACAUUAAUCACCAUUGUUCGCCCUAGAAAGGAUUUUUUUUUUAUUGUCAGAUAGACCCACAUGAGUUUUCACAUAGUACCCCUUACCAUGUUCAACAUCAAUCUUUUCACAGUACUAUCCUAAGAGCACAAGUACAUUAGAAUCUGAAUCCCAGACAAUUAUUGCAGAUGGAGGAUAUCACAAAUGAAACACAAAAGACUGCGAAGUUAAUGUUAACGUAUACAUUAAAAGAGCUCAAAUUUUACCCUUUAUAGAAGACAACAUAACUUAUGUGCUCAUGAGUUAUAUUUGAUAGGCAGGAGCCGAACUUGUCGUGACUUGGCCAAGCUAUGGCUUAUAGUGGCAUUGCUUAUAAGCAACUGAUUGUUUUGUUUUUACUUUUUGAUGAUUCAGCGGAUGAAACUACUUUGAGACCCUCCCCCACUUUGAUUUAAUUUGAUUUCAGGACCAUGCCAGUUUAUUCAAUUAAGCAUAGCAUAAAUUAUACACGGAGGUCCAAAUCUGAGUGCAGAGUAAAACAGGUCUGAAUUGGCAAAUAACAGUUAGUUAGAUGGGUAAACGCGCUUCAAGCUCCCGAGAGCUCAGAAUUUGUUCUUGAUACAGCUGAAGAUGGAUGUAGAAAGAAUACAAAAAGGGUCAAUCCUUUUAUUAUGUCUGUUUUACCUAUUUGAUUUUUGAUUUCACUACCCUUUUUGCAACUUUAGAACUCAAUUUCAACCAGUCUAAAUUGCUUAAUUUCUUUGAUAACUCAACUGUUAAUUGAUUCUUCACGUAUACAGAGAAGGCUGAGAAGAAAAAGUUAAGUCGAAAGAUAAAGCUCAUGGGGUCAGUUAUUGUAAUUUAUCCCUUUCUAUUUUUGUGAAGUACGACUUUUUAAUUAAAUUUUUUUAACUAUUAUAUUUCCUUAGUUGAUUUGGGACUUCCUCCCCGCACAUAACACUUCAUUUCUAACAUUUGGUCAUCACAUUAUCCACAUCUCUGUGUUUCAAUACUCAAAAUUGUAGUGAAAUAGAGCUCAUUUGCAUGCAGCCACUGCACACUCUGUACCUUGCAACCAGAUCAACAAAAAGUUUGUUUUCACAAUAGUUCGAUGAUAUGGGGAGCUAUCUCAAAAUUAAUAAUUCAACAAAGGAUGGUGAUCACAAGUCCAAAUGGAAUCAUCUUAUUUAUAAUUUCAUGAAUUCAUCUAAUUAAAGCUGGGAAAUGGAAGCAGAAUCAGGUUCUGGACAGAUGUCUAGCUAGGAGAUGAUAAACUGAUGAGCAAAUUUCCUACAAUAUAUAGUUUAGGCAAAAUACCUUAAAUCAUCCCUGAACUUGGCUAAGAUUAUUAGUAUCCUCCCCGAACUAUGCCCGGUCUUAAUUACCCCCUCAACUUGGUCUUUUGAGAGCCAUUACCCCAUAGAUGUUGAUGU